AUUAAUAAUUAAUAUAUUUAAUAAAAAUAAUUUUAAUUUAAUAAGUAUUUUAAUGGGGGUUAAAGUAUUUUUUAAAGAAAAAAUUUUUAAAUUUAUAGUUAAUUAGUAUUGUGAAAGAAUUUUGAAAUAUUAUGAAAAAUAAUAUUUUUAGAAUGUAAUUUUUAUUUAUUGUAUCUUGUGUAUCACACUUUAUUAAAAAUUUUUAAUUUAUGAAUUAAUUUCUCGAAUUUAAAAGAGUUAAAUAAUUAUUAAAGUUAUUGUAUCAAAAUUAUUUUAAAUAAUUAUUUAGAAAUGAAAUGUUAAUCGUUUUUAAAUAUAUCUAGUUUUUAUAGAAAAAAAUUUAAUUUUAAAUUUAAAAAUUAUUUAAUUAAUUUAUUAAUUAAAUAGUUACUUAAAUUUUAUAAUUUAAGGGAUAAGCUUUAAAUUAAAUUUUUAUAAUAUUAAAUUUUUAUUUUGAAAAUUUUAUAAUUUAUAUUGUUAAUAAAUUUUAUUUUGUUAUAAAUAAUUUCAUUUUUUUUAAAAUUUAAAUUUUAUUUAAUUUUUUAUAUAAAAUUUAUUUAUAAUUAUAUAAAGUUAAUUAUAAUGAUAAAAUUAGUAUAUUAUUUAAUAUUAAAUUAAAAUUAAUUUUUGAUUAAUAAUUAAAUUAAUUAAAAGGAAUUCGGCAAAUAUUUAUUUUCACUUGUUUAUCAAAAACAUGUCUUUUUGUUAUUUAAUUUAAAGUCUAAUCUGCCCACUGAUUUAUAAAAAUUGAAGGGCUGCAGUAUAUUGACUGUACAAAGGUAGCAUAAUCAUUAGUCUCUUAAUUGGUGACUUGUAUGAAAGAUUGGAUGAAAAAUAUACUGUCUCUUAAUUAAUAUAUAGAAUUUAAUUUUUUAUUUAAAAAGUUAAAAUAACUUAAAAAGACGAGAAGACCCUAUAGAGUUUAAUAAAUUAUUUUAUGAAAGUUUUAUUUAUAUUUAUUAAUAAUUUUAUAAAUUUAUUUAUUUAGUUGGGGGGAUAAAAAAAUAAAUUUAACUUUUUUUAAGUAAUUUACAUGGAUAAGUGAUUAAU
rnacentral:rRNA from 1 species